AGGUCAUUUCAAGGAGAAUUUGUGGGACUUGAAACCAGUAGCUCUUAAUGCUAUGACCAAAGAUUGAAGUUCUCCAUUGGAUGACAUAGACACUCAAUAGUGCUUUGUUUUUUUCCUGAGGGAGAAACAAGA
rnacentral:snoRNA from 1 species